GGGGAAAUGGAUUUUUCAGCCUAUAACAAGGGAUCUACACCAAUGGAAAGGGGCUUCACAUACACAUUACACAUUUUCAUUCUGCUUGUAACGUGAAGUAAAGAAAGGAAGAUUCUGAAGUUGGAGUGCUUGUAAUUGUAAACUUUUUGUUCUUUUUGUUAGUGUCAAGAAUGUGGCUUUCUUUUGUUUAAUUUUGCCCAUUAAAAGGCUCUCUACAUAUUGUAGUGUCUGUCCCAGAAAUUUCGGUGGGCGACUUGCGCUUGGAGUUCGUUUUCCCCCGUAACAAGUGUCGCCUCCAAUGCCGCCUCCUGAGCGGCAACCAAAACCUCCGUCAACACUAGCUGUUGGAAUGCGACUACUCGCAAGAUUUCCAACUGCCCAAAAAAAUGAAAAAUACAGUCAUAAAUG
rnacentral:lncRNA from 1 species